rnacentral:misc_RNA from 1 species
GCCAUGUGUCUAGUUUCCUGUGUAGUGGAUCAUAUAUCAACCAUUCCUGACGUUGUUGCCUUCUUAGACAUGUAACUUGAUAGCCCGAUUGUCGUGUGGCGAAUCGAGCAGUUUGCAAUUCACUAGUCGAACCGCUUGUGAUGUUUAGUUAUAUUCAAGCAGUUUAAUGCAUUUCAACAUGGUUUACACAAGAAACAAAACAUUGAAUAAAGCAGAAAUAGUGGCUGCUCUAUUCCUGGCCCUGCUAAACGUGAUAAACAGCAGCAGCAACAUCUCAUGGCAAAACACAAACAUGACGGUCACAAGAAGCCUUGUUUCUUCAGAUUAUUUUGAUAUUUGGAACGACAAAGACACAAAAGAGUGUUCGUUUAAUAUUAUUCCCAAUGUUUGCCAGAGUUACGGAGCAACUGAAGUUAAAAGUAACUGCAAGAUGUCUUGUUGUAAGNGAUGUAUGUGCGAGAGAAACAGGACUUCUUUUCUUGUACAGAAACGAAAGUGUAUAGAAGAUAUCAGCAUUAUGGCACAGUCUCGAGAUCCCUACCAACUGUUGUUUGGCACCUCGACUCGUACACCGUGUGAGAAUAGUUCAAGAAUACUGCANACACUCGACCUCAAUAUUNCUGGAAAUAGAACAUUCUUGAUUUGUUCAAGUGGCGCAGAGUUUAUACCAGCUGGCGUGGAAUCAUGCGCACUUCUACCAGAUAACCACAGUGCCAUAGACACAUUGAACGGGCAGAACGAUUUACCCAUCGAUUUCAAGAAUAGUUUCCAAGUCAGCAAGAAAAAGCUGGUGUUUAAAUGGACUGGGACUAGUAUGACGUCAAUGCAAGCCUCCAUUGUGUCCAUAGGUGUAAAAUGUGUCGUAUAUAUUUUAUCUCGAUUUGGACGCGAGAAUGUCGAUAUUGAAUCAAAACUGUACUUCAAGAUUGCAGGCUCACAUACCAGUCCAUGGCCUCCAGUAUUUUAUAACACAUUCAAAGCACCAAAGCCAACCAAUCCCCCGACUACAUUCACAACACCCACUACCAUGACAAUCUGGACAGAGUACCGGUCCAAGCUAAAUGUGGUACGUGUUCCUGGUAAAGUCGAUAUGUUAUUGGUAAUAGUCGCUGCUGUACUUGGCUCACUUCUCUUCCUGGUCAUCGCGGCUGCUAUUAUCAUCAUCUUUGUAUUUAGACGCAAGCAAAAGUUGAAUAUUUCAGGAGGAAACCACACCAGUAACCCAACCUAUGAACGUGGUCCAGACCAGUCACUUAUACCAAAUGGUCAUCAGNCCUCUAGCUUCAAAUCCCAUUUCUACCAACCGCUGGUUGAAAANACCAAGGACUCAUCACGUAAAGAACCGAUAUAUGAAAGCCUGGAUGACAACUUACGAGAGAGCAAGGUGUCGCUAACAGAGAAUCCAAACCGAUGCAGUCUUGCCUAUUGUGACGUUACAUCUGAUGGAUACCUGGUACCAGCAACUGGACCAGUCCCCUUUCCUACUAGUACUGAAGCUCUGCCACCCAUCCCAGACAACACUACGCGGCCAAGACUAAGUUCCAGUUACGAUGAACCGGAAGUUGUUCUUAAAGACAGGAAGCCCAAAUUAACCGUUGACUUGAGCAGUGCUGAUGGAAAGCCAAAACCUNUUUAUCAUGAAUUAGAAGAAAACAGCGAAGUGAAAUCAGAUNAACAAGAUAAUGAAGCAGUUGCUGAAAAUCGCUUUGGUAAAAGUCCCACAGAAAAUACCUACCUGGAGCUGAUCGGAGGGAAUAAGACUCGACUAGAAUCAGAGAUACUUUAAGAUAUGUCAUCUUUACCUUUUGAAAGGAGAAACAACUGACAGGACUAGUCGUCGAUAUCAGUGGAAGCUCAGCGACUGUUGUAUACGCAAUAUUCCCCCAAUGACAGCUGCUGAUGGGUUUCUGUUAUAAGGACCUAACACUGGCGAACAGGUUUCUGAGUUGAGGUUACAGGCUCCCGAAAUGGGGUCCUAACCCUGGCCUACAGGUUCCCGAGAUGUGGUCCAUGGCAGUUCUUAAGGACGCAGUCAACUAGACAUAUACUUUUGUUAUCAGCUGUAAAUAAAUAGCACUGCAUGCUAACAUGCUUAUUACAGUUCAUUAUACUAGGCAAUGUAAAAUAUUCCAUAAAAAUAUUAAAUUUCAAAGAACUCCAAAAAUUAUAUUGCUUGCAUGCGAUUAACAGUUUUUUUCGCUCAAAAUAAAAAAUGUAAAAUCAUUA